rnacentral:rRNA from 1 species
GGGGAAUAUUGGGCAAUGGGCGAAAGCCUGACCCAGCAACGCCGCGUGAAGGAAGAAGGUUUUCGGAUCGUAAACUUCUAUCCUUGGUGAAGAUAAUGACGGUAGCCAAGAAGGAAGCCCCGGCUAACUACGUGCCAGCAGCCGCGGUAAAACGUAGAGGGCAAGCGUUGUCCGGAAUGAUUGGGCGUAAAGGGCGCGUAGGCGGCCUGGUAAGUCUGGAGUGAAAGUCCUGCUUUUAAGGUGGGAAUUGCUUUGGAUACUGCUGGGCUUGAGUGCAGGAGAGGUAAGUGGAAUUCCCGGUGUAGCGGUGAAAUGCGUAGAGAUCGGGAGGAACACCAGUGGCGAAGGCGACUUACUGGACUGUAACUGACGCUGAGGCGCGAAAGUGUGGGGAGCAAAC